AGAUUGAACGCUGGCGGCAUGCCUUACACAUGCAAGUCGAACGGUAACGCGGGGGCAACCCUGGCGACGAGUGGCGAACGGGUGAGUAAUACAUCGGAACGUACCCAGUAGUGGGGGAUAGCUCGGCGAAAGCCGGAUUAAUACCGCAUACGACCUACGGGUGAAAGCGGGGGAUCGCAAGACCUCGCGCUAUUGGAGCGGCCGAUGUCGGAUUAGCUAGUUGGUGAGGUAAAGGCUCACCAAGGCUACGAUCCGUAGCUGGUCUGAGAGGACGACCAGCCACACUGGGACUGAGACACGGCCCAGACUCCUACGGGAGGCAGCAGUGGGGAAUUUUGGACAAUGGGCGAAAGCCUGAUCCAGCCAUGCCGCGUGUGUGAAGAAGGCCUUCGGGUUGUAAAGCACUUUGUUCGGAACGAAACGUCAAAGACGAAUAAUCUUUGAUAAUGACGGUACCGGAAGAAUAAGCACCGGCUAACUACGUGCCAGCAGCCGCGGUAA
rnacentral:rRNA from 1 species